GUCCAUCCAAUUUGAUUGAGCAACAAGAAAAAUCAGUAACAGUUUCAAGCAAAGUUCCUACAAUUCAUAUCUGCUAUCAAAGAAUAAAUCAAGGAACAAGCUCUCCUGGCUGAUAUUUUUUUAUGACAAAGGCACAUUACAAGUUUUCUGUUUUGUCCUCAUUGAAACUGCUUCAGGACUCAAGAUGCAGACCUAACAAAGAGGGUACCUAAAUUAUGUGGUCCAAAAGAUUAGUCUCUUCUUUUUUUCACUAUUAUUGUCUCUAUUUAGAAAUAGUGCAACAUAUAAUGGAACCCCUGAGAGGGUCCCAAGUUUGGAAGUUCAAACUUUAUGAAUCGUGUGAAUGCUUACCGUUACCAGCGACUUCAUUUACAGAUAAGCAGGAGAAACAUCAGCCAAAGAGCCGGCAAACUAGAAGUUUCCAUCUGAAAAUGGAUACAAAAACAGUUGAGAGUAAAAAAUCUGCACAGUAAUUUUCUGCUGUUCAACAUCACAGAACUAAAAAUAAAUUCUUCUAUAAAAGAACAUGAGAUUGUUAGUAGUGUAAAAAGGCCGAGAAGCAUCUCAUCGUUGCGUUGUUCAAAUGAUGAAAUGGAGAAUGAGGCUAUUGGCCUGAACAAUCCGACAUGAACAACUAUUGAGGACCAGAUAAACUAUUCAAUCAAAAAAAUUGAACAUCACAAAUGAUGUCAGUUAACAUAG
rnacentral:lncRNA from 1 species